rnacentral:rRNA from 1 species
GUGGGGAAUUUUGGACAAUGGGCGCAAGCCUGAUCCAGCAAUGCCGCGUGCAGGAAGAAGGCCUUCGGGUUGUAAACUGCUUUUGUACGGAACGAAACGGUCCGGGUUAAUACCCUGGGCUAAUGACGGUACCGUAAGAAUAAGCACCGGCUAACUACGUGCCAGCAGCCGCGGUAAUACGUAGGGUGCAAGCGUUAAUCGGAAUUACUGGGCGUAAAGCGUGCGCAGGCGGUUUUGUAAGACAGGCGUGAAAUCCCCGGGCUCAACCUGGGGAUUGCGCUUGUGACUGCAAGGCUGGAGUGCGGCAGAGGGGGAUGGAAUUCCGCGUGUAGCAGUGAAAUGCGUAGAUAUGCGGAGGAACACCGAUGGCGAAGGCAAUCCCCUGGGCCUGCACUGACGCUCAUGCACGAAAGCGUGGGGAGCAAACAGGAUUAGAUACCCGGGUAGUCC